rnacentral:rRNA from 1 species
AUUGAACGCUGGCGGCAGGCCUAACACAUGCAAGUCGAGCGAGCGGCGGACGGGUGAGGAAUGUAUGGGGACUGCCCGAUAGAGGGGGAUAACGACUGGAAACGGUAGCUCAUACCGCAUACUAUCGGAUAACCCAUAUGGGAUUAGCUAGUAGGUGAGGUAAAGGCUCACCAGGGCACCGAUCCGUAGCUGGUUUGAGAGGCCGACCAGCCGCACUGGGACUGAGACACGGCCCAGACUCCUACGGAGGCAGCAGGGGGGAAUAUUGCACAAUGGGCGCAAGCCGGAUGCAGCCAUGCCGCGUGUAUGAAGAAGGCCCUAGGGUUGUAAAGUACUUUCAGUCGGGAGGCGUUACCGACAGAAGAAGCACCGGCUAACUCCGUGCCAGCAGCCGCGGUAAUAC